AUGCGCGGGGAGGAGGAGGGCGGCGGGGAGCUCCUCGCUCCUCCCGGGAUGCGCCGCCUCGGGCUGCCUCCUCCUCCUCCCCCUCCUCUCUUCAGGGCCUCCCCACUGUCCGGAGGUGCCGCCCGGACGUCCCGCUCGCCGUCCCCCGCCCCUCUCCCCGCACAGGCCCCGCCGGCGGCCGGCAAGACCCGAGGGCGGCGGGGGAUUCCGGCCCGGCCUCCUCUCCUCUUCUCUCCCCGGGGCCUGCUGCACGAUCUCCGCGGGGAGAGGCCUGAGCAGCCCCGGGAAGGUCACGGGCGGCGUGCAGCCGGGCACGGAGCGGCUCCCCCCGGCCCCGCUCCUACAGCCGCCGGCCCAGCCUCAGCCUCAGCGGCCGCUGGGUGCCGCGCUCCGCCCGGGCUCGCUCCGUGCCGCUGCCCGGUGCCGCCUCCGGCUCGGAGUGCCAGGCUGCCCCCUUCCCUUUCUUCCUUCCUUCCUUCCUUCCUUCCUUGCCUCCCGCCCCUUCCCCGCUGCCAGCCUUCCCCCGCCCGGUGCCAGGCUGCCCCCUGCGGGUCUCGCCGCCCACCGCCGGCAGUGCUCCAGUGCCGGCAGAGGGGUGCUAGCCGCCGCCGCUGCUGCUCUGCCCCGGGCUCAGCGGCAGCUGCAGUGACUGUGUGUCUGUGUCAUGUCUGUGCAUGGGCGGGAGGAGGCGCGGCGCCGAGGCGGAGCCAGCCCGCUGACACACCGCCCAGCGACAGGCAACGAGCGCCCAACCAGCGGCAGCCGCGCACCGAGCGGCGCCCCCGGGCCGCUACACCUGGGUCGGGCCGGGUCGGGCCAGGCCGGAGCGGGAGGGGCGGAGAGGGGCGAGCCGACCCCGCGCCUCAGCGUGAAGGUUUGCAACUGCUUUGGUGACAAUCAUGAUGAAAGAAUUUCUGGGGAUGUAUGGAGGAGGAAACAAGACUGUAUGUACGGUUUCAUUAUUAAGAAAGCCAUGUUGUCUACUGCCUAUCACUGGAAGUUUGAGCAGAUUCAUAUUUUUAAGCCUCAUGCUGUGUCUUAAAGAUUUGUGAAUUGUCAGUCUGAUCCUACAUCAUAUUGAACAAUUUCUACAGGUUCUUAAUGUUCUCGUCUCCUGUUAGAGCAGGGAAAUCUCAGCACCCGCAAAAAUUCUUAGGUUUUAAGAGUGGCAUGGAUUAAUAGGAUUAGCUAAUGUACCACCAUACAUGACAAAUGAUGAAACUUCAUACUGCAGCCAAGUAUCUUACUUGGCUUACUUGAAAUUGCUCAGCACCUGUCAGGUUGCUGUCCUACACAAAAUGGAGAACAGUUGUUGAAACCCAUGGCAGCAUUAGUCAGACUCUGGCUGAGAGUGAUUACCACCAGGUUACAAAAACUAAUGGGUGGGAGGAGCAGCUACCUAUGAAGAGAGAGGGUUUUUUUUUAAAUUGUGUUUAUAAGUGAGUAAUCUUUUAAAAUUCAUCAUAAAAACACUCCAUUUGACUUUGUUCUUGAAGACCUGAAGGAGCAAUUGCUUUGGACAUGGAGUAAACAGCUGAUGCAGAAGGGUCUGUAUGCCCAGGAAAUCUUAAAAUAAAUUUAAAAAAAAAAAAAAAAACUGCA
ensembl:lncRNA